UACAGAGGGGGCAAGCGUUAUUCGGAAUUAUUGGGCGUAAAGGGCGCGUAGGCGGCCUGGCAAGUGGAAGGUGAAAUCCCUCGGCUUAACCGAGGAACUGCCCUCCAAACUGCUUGGCUUGAGUCCGGGAGAGGUGAGUGGAAUUCCCAGUGUAGCGGUGAAAUGCGUAGAUAUUGGGAGGAACACCAGUGGCGAAGGCGGCUCACUGGACCGGAACUGACGCUGAGGCGCGAAAGCGAUGGGGAGCAAACGGGG
rnacentral:rRNA from 1 species